CUCCCCUCCAGCGCGGCUGGGUGUUGGGCGCUGUUCCCCCGGGAACACGCCCCAAAGGCAGUGGCGAUGCCGCGUCGAGUCCUCGAGCGUAUGGAGCUUAGUCACCUGCUCGGGAGGGACUUGCCGGUGUCGGUCUUCCCCGAUGGGCCCCCGUAGCGGGCCGAUCGCUUUAAC
rnacentral:misc_RNA from 1 species